UGAAGGUGGCACUUCUGGAGUUGUAUAUUG
rnacentral:piRNA from 1 species